GCCUCCGCCGGAAGCGGAAAUACCCGCCCUCUCUUCCAAAAUGGCGGCCCCCAUGAUUCAAUUCUACGCAAGAUGGCGGUGCCACGUAGUGCAUAGGGCGAGGUGAAAUGACAAGAUUUCAAGUCCUCUCGCAACGCAACAUAAUUUUGUAACGCAUGCAAAUACAUUGUGGAAACAACACUACCGUGUUUUAAAUACCUCCUCGAACGCUGAUAUGGACGUGAGGUCUAAGAAGCGGAAGAGGGAGUAUACCAAGCAAGUUCUACUGAGGACCGCAUAUCCUCGGCCUAUCACCUUGGUGGCUCAGUUGGUAACGAUGGGCAAUACGAAAAAUAAGAUCUGGAGACCUAGACUGCGACCACAAUAGAUGCCUUUGCCCUAGAGCCCAGUCCACCAAAUCCAAGCUGGUGAUGCCAGUGGAGGAGAGGGAGAAAUGGAACAUCGUGGACUUUCUGGACAAUCAGACCCUGCAGGAUUCGGGCUUUACACUUACAGUUUUCCUCCACGCACUGCCUGGCCUCUCUCAGAGGGGAAGACAAUAGGCUACAAUGCCACUGUGGGACAGUCCUGAGCCAAGAGAGGGGUCUCCUCAACCCUGGGGACCACUUUUGAGUGUAGCUAGGAGCAGGGACAGGGUUGAGGCAUCCUUUCUCGCUCAGAUCCAGCUGGAGUUGAGCCUUACCCACACCUGCCUUUCUCAGGCCCAUGUGGUUCCCUGCUAGGCAUACCAGCUCCCACCUGGCCC